rnacentral:rRNA from 1 species
AAGUCGUAACAAGGUUUCCGUAGGUGAACCUGCGGAAGGAUCAUUACUGAUCUGUCAACACGAGUUGUUGCUGGUCCUCAAGUGGGGGCAUGUGCACACUCUGUUUACACAUCCACUCACACCUGUGCACCCUCUGUAGUUCUGUGGCAUGGGGGACUCUGUCCUCCUGUUGUGGCUCUACAUCUUUACACACACUCUGUAACAAAGUCUCAUGGAAUGUAUGUCGCGUUUAACGCAAUACAAUACAACUUUCAGCAACGGAUCUCUUGGCUCUCGCAUCGAUGAAGAACGCAGCGAAAUGCGAUAAGUAAUGUGAAUUGCAGAAUUCAGUGAAUCAUCGAAUCUUUGAACGCACCUUGCGCCCUUUGGCUAUUCCGAAGGGCAUGCCUGUUUGAGUAUCAUGAACACCUCAACUCUCGUGGUUUGCUACGAUGAGCUUGGACUUUGGGGGUUUUGCUGGCCUGCGGUCGGCUCCUCUCAAAUGAAUCAGCUUCCCAGUGUUUGGUGGAGUCGCAGGUGUGAUAACUAUCUACGCUUGUGGUUUUUCACCAGAUAACCUUCGGUGACGGAGGUUUGCUGGGGCUCAUAAAUGUCUUUCCUCAGUGAAGACAGCCUUUGAACGUUGAUCUC